UACGUAGGGGGCAAGCGUUGUCCGGAUUUAUUGGGCGUAAAGAGCUCGUAGGCGGCUCGGUAAGUCGGGUGUGAAAUUUCGAGGCUCAACCUCGAAACGCCACCCGAUACUGCUGUGGCUAGAGUCCGGUAGGGGAGCGUGGAAUUCCUGGUGUAGCGGUGAAAUGCGCAGAUAUCAGGAGGAACACCAGCGGCGAAGGCGGCGCUCUGGGCCGGUACUGACGCUGAGGAGCGAAAGCGUGGGGAUCAAACAGG
rnacentral:rRNA from 1 species